rnacentral:rRNA from 1 species
AGGACGAACGCUGGCGGCGUGCUUCAUACAUGCAAGUCGAACGAGAAACUGACUUCGGUCAGUGGAAAGUGGCGGACGGGUGAGUAAAAUGUAGAGAAUCUGCCCUAGAGAGUGGGACAACAGAGGGAAACUUCUGCUAAUACCGCAUAUGCGCGUAGCUGAAAUGCUAUUCGUGAAAACUCCGGUGCUCUGGGAUGAGUCUGCAUCUGAUUAGCUAGUUGGCGGUGUAAUGGACCACCAAGGCGACGAUCAGUAGCUGGUUUGAGAGGAUGAUCAGCCACAAUGGGACUGAGACACGGCCCAUACUCCUACGGGAGGCAGCAGUAGGGAAUUUUGCGCAAUGGGGGAAACCCUGACGCCAGCAACGCCGCGUGAUUGAAGAAGCCCUUCGGGGUGUAAAGAUCUGUCAGUGGGGACGAAACUUGACGGUACCCACAGAGGAAGCAUCGGCUAACUCCGUGCCAGCAGCGGC